rnacentral:rRNA from 1 species
CCUACGGGAGGCAGCAGUGGGGAAUAUUGGACAAUGGGGGGAACCCUGAUCCAGCGACGCCGCGUGAGUGAAGAAGUAUUUCGGUAUGUAAAGCUCUAUCAGCAGGGACGAAAGAAGUGACGGUACCUGACUAAGAAGCCCCGGCUAACUACGUGCCAGCAGCCGCGGUAAUACGUAGGGGGCAAGCGUUAUCCGGAUUUACUGGGUGUAAAGGGAGCGUAGACGGCGAUGCAAGUCUGAAGUGAAAGGCGGGGGCACAACCCCUGGACUGCUUUGGAAACUGUAUGGCUGGAGUGCAGGAGAGGUAAGUGGAAUUCCUAGUGUAGCGGUGAAAUGCGUAGAUAUUAGGAGGAACACCAGUGGCGAAGGCGGCUUACUGGACUGUAACUGACGUUGAGGCUCGAAAGCGUGGGGAGCAAACAGGAUUAGAUACCCGGGUAGUC